GUGAGGGAACGCUGAAAAGAACUCUUGACAGAGAGUUAAAAGAUCUUGAAACCUGAUAACUAUCGUGAGAUGCGCAGCAAUGUGCAUCGUCCGUUUUGAAUAACGUGCCAGGGAGUUUGUCUACGUGGCGAGGAUAAUCUAUCUGAGAAUCCGAAGGGAAACCAAGACCUCGCAGUUUACGAGGAGGGAGGUGUUAAAGCGCCUCAAGUCACGUGGACCAGACCCGAAGCCGGGCGAUCUAAUCCUGGGUAAGGUGAAGCCCCCGUAAAAAGGGGUGGAGUCCUGAAGAGGUGCUACGAGCAAGUGUUCUUCUAACCUGGGAUUAGGGGUGAAAAGCCAAUCGAGCUCGGUGAUAGCUGGUUUCAGUCGAAGUUGGCCGUAGUCAAGCCUUGGUUGAGACGGCAAGGAGGGUAGAGACACGGAUUGAGGAUUUAGGGCUUUAACCGGCUCGGUCUUCUGUCCAACUCCGAAUCUUCUUGCGUUGUAGACGCCAAGAGACGGGGUGCCGUCGUAAAGGUGGCAUCCGAGAGGGUAUCAACCCGGACUACAGUUAAGGUCCCUAAAUGUUGGUUAAGUGUUAAAGGGUGAAGAUUGUUUAAGGCCUCAGACAGCGAGGAGGUUGGCUUAGAAGCAGCCAUCCUUUAAAAAGUGCGUAACAGCUUACUUGUCAAGGCUUUGAGCGUCUAAAAUGGACGGGGCUAAACCAAUUACCGAUACUGUAGACCACCGAAAGGUGUGUAGUAGGCUGACGUUCUGCAAGAGCAGAAACAUCCCUUCGAGGGGGUGUGGAUCUAGCAGAAAUGAGAAUCCUGGUGAGAGUAGGAACAUAACACUGUGAGAAUCAGUGGCGCCGUAAGGGCAAGGGUUCCUUGACAAUGCAAAUCAGUCAAGGGUUAGUUGAUCCUAAGUACGCUCCUAGUUGGAGCAAUACGAAAGGGAAACCGGUUAAUAUUCCGGUACACAAAAGAUAUUCGUGGUGACACAAGCUCUAUUUCUGACGCUUUGGGCUACACCUCCAUCUUAUCAAGGAUGUUAAUAGAGGCAGGUCAGGAGAGUACCGUAAUGGUGAGAUCCUGAGCAACUUUUAGAACAGUACUCCUCUGGAGUAUGAGGUAGAUGCCUGGAGCCCGUGAAAAGGGAAUAGAGAAAGAUUCUUUUGUAUCAUACCCAGAACCAGCACAGGUGCCCCUAGGUUAGAAGCCUAAGGCGCGCAGGGAAAAUCUAGUUAAGGGAAUUCGGCAAAUUAGCCCCGUACCUUCGGUAUAAGGGGUCCCUGCUUUCGUAUCUGUAGAGGUGCGAUUGCAGGGCGCAGUGACAAGGGAGGUCCGACUGUUUACCAAAAACUUAACCGAGUGCUAACCAGGAAUGGCUUGUAUACUCGGUGACGUCUGCCCAGUGCCAGUACCUAAAACUCCUUUUCAAGGGAGCCAAGGGCUGGUAAACGGCGGGGGUAACUAUAACUCUCUUAAGGUAACGAAAUGCCUUGCCGUUUGAUUGACGGCCUGCAUGAAUGGCGUAACGAGAUCUCCACUGUCCCUAACUAGAACCCUCCGAACACUCUUUACUGGUGCAAAGGCCAGUGACUUCCAGUGGGAAGCGAAGACCCCGUGAAACUUUACUACAGCCUGUUGUAGUGGCGUGAGUUAAACUAUAUAGCGUAAGUGGGAGCCUUCGAUACAAGCUCGUCAGGGCUUGUUGAGGCGAAAGUGUAACACCACUUAGUUUGACUUACGUCACUCACUCCUUGUGAGGACAGCAGCAGGUGGGUAGUUUGGCUGGGGUGGCACCCUGCUGAAAAGAUAUCAGCAGGGCCCAAUGGUAGACUCAAACGGGUCAGAAAUCCGUUGUAGAGUGCAAGGGCAAAAGUCUGCCUAACUGGAACCUUUACAUGACGGGUUUCAGUAGAGAAAUCUGGGCCUAGCGAUCCUCUGUGCCUCCUUGAUGGGGGCCAGAUGUGACCGAAAAGUUACUCCGGGGAUAACAGAGUUGUCGCGCCCGAGAGCUCAUUUUUGAUGUAUAUCAAUUAUGCAUCUUCGAGUUGAUCGACGGCGCGGCUUGCUACAUCGAUGUCGGCUCUUCCUAUCCUGGCGGUGCAGAACUUUUCGAAGAACUGAGAAAAACUCAGAAAUCUUCGAUUUCUGUAGGCUGCCAAGGGUGGGGGUGUUCACCCAUCAAAAGGGAUCGUGAGCUGGGUUCAGAACGCUGUGAGGCAGUUUGUUUGAUAUCUACUGGAAGUGUUCAUUGUCUGAGAGGAAGGACUUUUUAGUACGAGAGGAACGAAAGCUCGGGGCCUCUGGUCUAUCGGUUGUCUGACAAGGCAAGCCGAGCAGCUACGCCCCAAGGGAUAAGUGCUGAAAGCAUCUAAGCACGAAGCCCACCUCGAAAAGAGACAGAUGGUUCCCAUAGAAGAUGGGGUUGAUAGAAUCGGGAUGUACGCACCAAGGCAACGAGGUGUUCAGUCCGCGAUUACUAAUCGCCAGAAAUUCGGUU
rnacentral:rRNA from 1 species